rnacentral:lncRNA from 1 species
AAUGACUGAUGAUGCUGAGAAUCUUUUGAUGUGCUUGUUGGCCGUUUGUACAUCUUUGGAGAAAUUUCUCUUCGUGUCUUUUGUCUAUUUUAUUUUUUUGGGACAGAGUCUCACUCCUAACCCCGGGCUGGAGUGCAGUGGCACGAUCUCCACGCACUACAAUUCUUGUACCUCAGCCUCCCAAGUAGCUGGGAUUACAGGCGCACGCCACCACCCAGCUCAUUUUUUUAUUUUUAGUAGAGGUGGAGUUUUUUGUAGAGAUUGUGUCUCCCUGUGUUGCCCAGGCUGGUCUUGAACUCCUGGGCUCAAACUGUCCUCCCCCCUUAACCUCCCAAAGUGCUGGGAUUACAGGUGUGAGCCAUGGCACCCAGCCCUAGAAUGAUUUUUUAGUUUCCCUUUAAACUUUAUUUUUUUAUUCACUGUAGUGUGGUGGACGGUGGUGCCCCAAAACUUCACAACCACCUAGACAUUCGGAAGGUGACCUUAUUUGGAAUAAGAGAUUUUGCAGAUGUAAUUGAGUUAAAGAUCUGAAGAUGAAAUCAUCAUGAAUUUAGGGUAGGCCGUAAAUCCAAUGACUGACAUCCUUACAAGAAGACAAGAGGACACAGGCACCCGGGGGAAGAGGCCGUAGGAGACCCAGGCAGAGAUUCGGAGCGGUGCCCAUGCCAGGGAUCUCCAGGAGGAGCCAGAAGCUGGGAGAGGCCCUGCAGAUCCUCUCCCAGAGCCUUUGGAGGAGGCACAACCCUGUCCACACCUUGGUCUCCACUUUCUGGCCUCCAGAGCUGUAGGGGAACCCACUUCUGUGGUUUGAAGCCACCAAGUUCGUGGUGACUUAUGGCAGCCCUAGGAAAGUGACAUGCACAGGUAAACCACAUUCACUGCAGGAAAUAUACAAAUCAGCAAAAAGAAAAAAAGCACACAGGGGCACCACCCCCAGAGACAGCCAUGGCUGACAUCCUAGCGGCUGUCACCUCGGAGUGAUGUUCCUAAAAUGCAAACUUCUGAACUGCUUAAAACUCUUCCAGACACCCUCAGGUUGACAUCACAACUCCUUUGUUGGGCCUUCCAAGGCUGGUCCUUCCCGUGGCCUCUUUUCCCUCCGCUCUGUGACAGUCCAUGACGGGCACACUUGCCUAUGCUUGUUCUCCCAGGCAGUGGCCUUGUGUGGGCCUUCAGCUUCCAGUUCCAUGGCCUGGUGGAGGACCCUGUGGUGCAAGCCUUCCUCCAGACCCCCCUGGCCUGGGGCCCAAGACUGGGAAGCCUUUGAAGAUUUCAGUUUGUAAGUAGUGAGAGCAAUGAUCUUGGCUUUGCAUGGUGCUCAGGAAGCCUUCCCCGCUCCCAAACCAGAAAGGAAUCCAUCCAGAUUUUCCUCCACUGUCUGGAUGGCCGCUCUGUGGAUGCUUCCAUCUGUAUCCAUUGCCGGCACCUGGUGAGAUUCCGUCUCUAGAGCCUUUGAGGUCACUCCUGACGCUGACAUGGCUGUGAAGAGCUGGGUGCCAGGCAUUACUGCCUCCAAGGUUGCUUUGCGAGGAAUAGGUGGGGCAUCAGGAAGAAGCCAGUUGCAGGCAAGGCCUCUGCUGAUGCUGCUUUUUUCUCCUGUACCCAUCCAUGGGAGGGAGCUGUGAGAUGGCCUGGCAGAACCCGCUCUUGGACCCCACAGAAUGAGAGGCUCACCCUGCACAGGAACAUCCUGGGGCAGCAGGCUCAGCACAUUUUAAAUUUUGAGUAUGAACAAAGUAAACUUCAGGGUUAAAAAAAAACACAAAAAUUUGUCGAGC